AUUGAACGCUGGCGGCAGGCUUAACACAUGCAAGUCGAGCGAGCGGCGGACGGGUGAGUAAUGUCUGGGAACCUGCCCGAUGGAGGGGGAUAACUACUGGAAACGGUAGCUAAUACCGCAUACCAUCAGCUGUGCCCAGAUUGGAUUAGCUAGUAGGUGGGGUAAUGGCUCACCUAGGCGACGAUCCCUAGCUGGUCUGAGAGGAUGAUCAGCCACACUGGGACUGGGACACGGCCCAGACUCCUACGGGAGGCAGCAGUGGGGAAUAUUGCACAAUGGGCGCAAGCCUGAUACAGCCAUGCCGCGUGUAUGAAGAAGGCCCUGGGGUUGUAAAGUACUUUCGGUCGGGAGGCGGUACCGGCAGAAGAAGCACCGGCUAACUCCGUGCCAGCAGCCGCGUUAAUAC
rnacentral:rRNA from 1 species